rnacentral:rRNA from 1 species
GGACGAACGCUGGCAGCGUGCUUAACACAUGCAAGUCGAACGGAAAGGCCCUGCUUUUGUGGGGUGCUCGAGUGGCGAACGGGUGAGUAACACGUGAGUAACCUGCCCUUGACUUUGGGAUAACUUCAGGAAACUGGGGCUAAUACCGGAUAGGAGCUCCUGCUGCAUGGUGGGGGUUGGAAAGUUUCGGCGGUUGGGGAUGGACUCGCGGCUUAUCAGCUUGUUGGUGGGGUAGUGGCUUACCAAGGCUUUGACGGGUAGCCGGCCUGAGAGGGUGACCGGCCACAUUGGGACUGAGAUACGGCCCAGACUCCUACGGGAGGCAGCAGUGGGGAAUAUUGCACAAUGGGCGGAAGCCUGAUGCAGCAACGCCGCGUGCGGGAUGACGGCCUUCGGGUUGUAAACCGCUUUCGCCUGUGACGAAGCGUGAGUGACGGUAAUGGGUAAAGAAGCACCGGCUAACUACGUG